AAUUCCUAAACAAAUCCAUCACUUUGUUUCGCCAUCAUCAUCAGUCCAUCAAAAGAUGAAAUCUUUGACAACAAAUCGUGAUUUUAUUUAUUUUCCUGUUGACAUUUGAACGUGGAUCAUGCACUAACUUUUCUAAGUUCAAAAUUAAUGGAUGCUUCUGAUGUAUUGAAUUUGUUAAUCGCCAUUGGAGUUUGGUGUGCUGCUUAUAUUUCCGUCGCCAUUCUUGCAUCUUUUCGUUUCCUCAAUUCCAUUUGCCCUUGUUAAAUCAUCAAACUCAUUUGGGCCCGCAAGUGGUAAUAGUAGGUUAAUUAAUGUUUGCCCAUCUUUAGUUGCUUUAUUUUUGCUUUAUAUAUUAGAAUUGCUUUGUUGUUUUCAACAUUCGACACCCAGAUGAAAAUUUAGAUAAUUUGUUGAUUGGAUGACCGGAUAAUGGCUAUCUUUUUCUUUUCUUUUUUUUGAAAAACUUCCCAUGUAUCGGAAUAUAUAUUUGUGUGUAGAUGUGUGUAUUCGUGUUGAAUGUGAUGCUGCAAAUCCUAUGCUUUGGGAAGAUGAUUUGAGUAUGAUCUUUAAGUUUAUCAAAGUUUGAGAUUACGAUGAAUGAGUGUGUCCCUAUUACUAUGAAUGUAUAUUGAGAGGAAAUGUGUCAAGUGGUGCUAUGCUCUUUCAGAAUGUUACUGCUCUAUCAGACUUGUAAUGCUCUUGUUUUCAUGUUUAAUGCUAUUUUAAUUUUUAUUGUAUCCUUGAUGUUCUUUGAGUUUUUCUAUGAGAGUUGAACCGUGCGUUGCUUCUCUAUUAGUUCCAAUAAAAACAUUAUGUCUUUUGAGUGCCUCAGUUGUGUUUCCAGAUAGAUCUCAUAUUUGAUUAAUUGUGUUACAUGUCAUGGUCAGGUUUAAAUCGACAUUAUUAAUGGAUUCUUUUGAUAUUUAAUUCAUUUUUUAUCUGUUGGUCAUUUGUCCCUUCAUUAAGGAACCUAGAAACCUCUACAUUGUAUGUUUCUUUGUAGAGGGUAACCGAAGUUAAUGGUUGGCUGUAUAUUUUUAUCCAGAAGAAAUGUUAUUGUUCUAUUUUGAUUUUCAUUCUUUUAUGCUUGUAUAACACAUGUUCAGACUACUCUAUGUUUGUGUAACUAGAAUUAUCUGAACUUUGCUUGGAUUCCUUGUUACCAUCAUCAUCAUCAUAUUAUUUUUCUCACACUUCUCGGUGUUUGGCUUCCUAGAGGCAUGGCAUUUCAUUGAAACUAAUCCCUCUUCAGUUGGUAAAUUUUGAAAAAGGAAAUAAAAAACAGAAUUGACGAAGGGAUUUGCUAUGGUAGUUGUUUUAGUCCUAUAUGGCGGUAGUUAGUUAGGAUCAUUGUGCUCUUGGGGUCUUAUUUUCUUGCUUUAGACUUCUCCAUGUUUUGCGUAUUUACCAGUAAUCUACAGCUUCAGUGCAAGCUGCUGCAUAUGUGCUUGUUACUGCCGUGAGCAUAAUGUUUAUGUGUCUUGGUGUGGAAGCUUGGCAAUUUAUGAAAGAUGUUCGCUUUUUACUUAUCUGGUGACAGUAAGACUAAUUGUGACAUUAUUUCUUCGAAAUUCUCAUUUGGUUCUGAACAGUAAAAGAUUCCCCAUAUGAUUUGGUGAUAGUUUUGAUGCCCUUUCAAGAAUAGAGCUUAGCCUCCUAAGAGUUUAUUCAUUUGAUACGUGUAAUUAGACAAUUGAAAAUAUAGUAUUGGAGUCUGUUUUGGACUUCAAUCUCUUUUUUAUUUUAUCAAACGUGAUUUGAGUGUUUACUUGGAAGGUCAUUAGACAAAAAUGAACUUGAAUGUUAUGUUUUUUUACCAACAUUUUGUAUAUUGUAUGACCAAUGUUGGCUAUUUUCCUUGCAGUUGGCAAUAUAUGUCCCGAACUCAUCUUUACAACUGCAUCGAGCACUGGGUAUUUGCUGAUGUAACGUUUACCUGCUCAACUUGGCAACUGGGAAGAUGCAGAUGUCAAUGUUAGAGAUUUUGAUCCAGGCAAUGAGGUUAUUAUAUCAACUAUUUUACAGAAAAGGGUUCUACAAAUCUGAAGUAAACUUUCCAACUGAGUGGUUGUUUGCAUGUACAUUUGUGAGGCAUUUUUAUUAAAUCAUGAUCAUGAGCAAUAUCAAAGUAAAAUUUUUUGAGGCUUUGCUAUCUUGUGCUUUUCAAGUAUCAUACAAAUGUCUAAUCUUUUAUGCAAUAAUAAACUACCAAAAUAUUUAACUGGUGGUUCACCAAAGCUUGGAUGGGCAUUGCAAGUUCAUGCAAGUAGUCAUGGUAAAGGCCUCAAAAAACUUAGUUAGAUAAGCCAUAAAAAGUUUGCAUUUGUAAUAUUGAAAGUGUAAGUGCUGCGAUAAGUUAAAUGAGCGCUUCCUCGUGUCAACACAGGGAAGAUUGUCAAGUUAUCCCUUAUUUUACUAUUUUCUUAAUGCUUAAUAAUUUUCCUAAACUAUUAUUUUUAUUUUUUAAAUAUUUUUUAAUGAUAUGUAUUUUAUAUUUUGAAAAUCGAAUAUCAAUAAAAUGACCCAUUUAUGCUUCUUUUUCUUUAGAUUUUUCGUGACAGGGAGAUUAUUAAAUAUUGUGAAAAUAAUAAAGGAUAGGUGAUAGAACAAUAAAACCUCAAUAAAUCAAUAUUCGAUAAAACAAUAACCUUGAUUAGAUUAUAAAAUAUUUAGGUCCCAACUUACAGCAAUGUACUAACUUAAUCAUCUUGCGAAAUGCAUAAGAUAACAAUUUUUUUUUAAUGGGAAUCCUUUAGGAUUCAGUGAAAAUAUAUAUUAACAAUUAAUGAAAUACAAAUAAAAAAUAAUAGAUAUAUAAAAUUCAUAAUAUUACGGAGUUUUUCUUGACAACUUUAAUUUUUUUUAAUUUAACUCUUUUCUAAAAUAUACAUAUGAUUAAUUGAGAGAAAAAAUAUAAUGACUGAUGUAUUUAUAAAAUUUGUGUUUUGUAUACUUUAAGCAUCUGAAAUACUUAUACUUCUAAGGUAUUAAAUUUGAAAAAUACAUACAUCAAUUUCACGUCUAUGGACAAUGCAUUUAUAUUAAUUUUGGGAAAUUUACAGUAAUAACCAUUAAAGUUUUGAUUUUUUUCAUCUUAACCCCCAAAAAUAUUUCUAUCAACAUUAGCCAUAAAAUAAUUUUUGGGACCAAAAUACCCCUCCCUCAUCUCUCCCCCAACACUCCCUUUCACUCAUCUCUCCCAAACCGAUCCAACUCCCAUCAUCGGCAGCGACAUCAACCCUCGUCGGCGGCGGCUCCAUCUCUCACCGGCAUCCGAUCUACGAUCUACAACCUUCAACAAAACCUAAGUUAGUCAUUUUUAUUAUUUUCAUUAAUUUAAAAUGAGAUUUUAGAAUAAUAAUAGUUAUAGCUUGAGAAUAAUGGUGGUAGUGGUGAUGUUUGUGGUGGUUGGUGGUGUUUGGGAGUAUUGUUUUUCGAUUUUGGAGUGUUGUGGCUUAAUUUUGGGGGUGGGGAGGGAGGGGGGCAGGGCGCGCGUUGCUGCCCAGCGCGCCCCGCUGUCGCACCAAAAAUUAGAGUGUCCUUUUUUUUAAAGAGUCAAUUUUUUUUUCUGUAAAUGUAAUGUAAUAAUUUUAUAAAUAUUACAGAUACAUGGCGAAAUCAGAAUCACCGGAUAUCGAAGUAGGCAAGAUGUAUUUUCGUUAUGCCGAUCACUUUCCCGGUCGAAUUCGAGCAUGUGUAAGUUAUCUUCGGUCGUAAAAGCCAUCGAGGAAAAAUUAACAAAGCGGCAGUUGAGUAUGUUAAAAAAUGAUAUAUUUGGGCAUUUCUUGGAGUGUCGAAGUUUUUCAUUUAGUGGGGUAAUUUUGCACAAUCUUUUACUGAGGCAAGUGGCCCAUGAAGAAGAUAGCCGUGAGGAUCAGUUAUGGUUUCAAAUUGGUGAGCAUUUGAUUCGCUUGUCAAUUGUCGAAUGGUGCUUGGUUACUGGACUUUCAUUUGCUGUUGAUACCAAUAAAAAAAAUGAUGAAAUGGAGCAGAGGCUACGGAAUACGUAUUUUGGUGGUGUGCAUCGUAAGAUUAAUGUGAACCAAUUCGAUGCAGUAUUUAAGGAGUUGAAAUUUGAGGAAAUGGACGAUAUGGACGCAUUAAAGAUUGCGCUGUUUUAUUUUGCGGACAGAGUACUAAAUGCAAGAAAAAAUCACUGUCAAAUCAAUUUUGAUUGGCUUGACCAAGUUAAUGAUAUACAGUACUUCCGAAAGCGUCCAUGGGGUUUAUUGUCGUGGGAAAUGAUUUAUGAGAGUCUUGACAAUGCACUGUUCGAGAAAAACGAGAAAUUUAAGAAGACUCGGUUGAAAAAUCCAGAUCAUAACAUUGAAAAAUACAAUCUUUAUGGCUUUACGUCUGGGGUUCAGGUGCGUUUUUUUUUGUUUAUUAAUAAGUUUUAUAGUAUUAAUUAUUUGAUAGUUGUUUUAUUUGAUUUUUCACUUUGGUUGUUGUAGGCUUGGAUUUACGAAGCAAUCGGAGGGUUGCCAUCAACAUGGGUCGUCAAAACGAAGAAUAAGAUUCCCCGCAUUCUGCAAUGGAAGCCCAUGGCGUCUUCGAAAAUCAACUUUGCGGAGGUUUAUUCGUUCUUCAACGACAAAUCUCGUCUUGUAAGUAAUAUGUAUUUUUUUUUAACUUUACUAAAUUUAAGUUAUGUAUACUUAUUGAAAAUUUUCAAUUGAAUUUAUGGCAGGGGGACGUUUUACAAACUCUUGAGCCAAAUUCAAAGGAGAGUACCAGAAAAUAUUGGCUCUCUGUGAAGGAUUACUUGCUAAGUAUUCCAGACUGGGUUCAUAACGUCGGUAUACUCUAAGUACUAAAAAUUUUUUAAAAGAAAUUUUUGACUUUUCAUUUACUAAUUUUAAAUGAUACUUUAUACAGCACUAACCCUCAAUCAACGCGAUGCCGUCGGUUACAAGGCAAUCAGACGAGCAUGACGAUCAUGACGACAUACCAAACCCAAUACCAGAGCAGCGUCAUGACACUUCUGAGGAUGAGGUGGCUGUUGAUGACCACCAGCAGCAAACAGACAACUCUGAUGACGCACGGGAUUCUGAGGUUAUAAAUAAUAUACGAUAUUUUCCCUUUAUAAAUUAUUAAUUUUUUAUUGUUAUUCUAAAGUUUUAUUUUUUCUUUUGUAAUAGUCGAGGACAAAGCAAUUAAAUGAUUACAUACAACGACGGCUGGAUAAGAUUGAUCGUAACGUGUAUAAAAUAAAGUCAUAAUUAAAAGAUUUUAAAGAAACCGUUAUUGGUUUCAUCGACACAUUGUCUAAACGUCCAAAUAAGGAUUCUCCCACUGCACGCUCGUAUGCGGUGAGCAAAUUUAAAUUUAAUAAUUAUGUUCGUUUAACUUUUAAUUUGAUAGUUGUUUAUAUGUUCUUCUUGGCGAAUGGACAGACCCCGGAUGACUAUGGAGUGUAUACUGACGUGGGCAAUGAAAAUUUAUCUACGCCCACGUCAUUGUAUAGUUUCUACGGGAAUGUUAGUGGGGAGAGCGUGCAGGUGUUCACUAAGGUGCCUCCGGGCGUUAGUAAGUUCGGCCGCGCGUACAUACCGUCGUAUGUUUAUAACAGUCCUUACAUGAUUCCUCUAGUCAGGCGAGGACAGAACGUCCGGCCUUUACCUCGACCCCAAAUCAUGGAGUAUGCGAUUGACAUGAGUACGAGUGUGGAUGUAAAUCCACUGAGAGGAUUGGAGGACUCUAGUCUGUUUGCUGAGUUUGAUCGAUGGUUCACUGGUGAUAGCAGAGUCCGCCGGAGAGUCCAGCACCCGCGGUCAUUCUUUCAAAUACUUUUGGGUACAGCUUCGAUGGGAUAGCUAGGCGAUGAGGUAUUUAUAUUUUCGAAGUUAUGUAUACUGUUGUGUUGUGGAUUUGUUUCACCAAAAAUUUUCUUUUAAAUCGUAAUAUUUUUGUUUCUCUACAGCAUAUUCACGAGUAUCUCCGCUUGAUUAGCGAGAAACAACGGCAGUAUCCAAAUGCCUUACUCUAACGUGUCACACAUACUAACAUAUUUUUUUGGGUAACGUGCCGACAAAACUUAUAAAUACUAUUUAAUUUUAUUUUUAAAUAUUGCCUUCAAGUUUUGUUCAUUUAUGCAUUUCUUGGUUAUUUAUGUACUAGGUGUUCUUGAAUCAGUUAUGGAAUAACGGGGAUUGUUCGGUCGAUUCAUUGGUAUUCGACGACCGCUUAAAUAGUUAUCUUUGUGGGUGACAGCACACAAUGUCCAAAUCAAUGACGGAUGUCGAUAUGGUAUGUAUUUUAUUGCAUUUCACAUACUCCAUAAUGAAAAUAUUCGAGUUGUCAUUUUUUUUUGUUGUAUUUCAAUUUCAUAUAUAACGAACAUGUUUUUCAAUUUUAAUAUACAGUUACUCAUCCCUGUUAACUUGGACGGCGCACAUUGGGUACUAGCACGAGUUGACUUUCAGAAAAAUAAAGUCUGGAUUUAUGACUCAUUACUCACAUUUCGCGACGACAAAAGGUACGAGUUGAAAUUCAAGCCACUUGAAGUUAUAUUCCCUCAAUGGUUGGAAUAUGUUGGCUUCUACAACAUCCGACCCGAGUUGCGGAGUGCAGACCCCUGGAAAGUUAUCGCAGUUAAGAGCGCGCCAUAACAAGAGCCCGGAACUGGCGAUUGCGAUGUUUUUGUAUUGAUGGUUACGAUGUAUUUAAUGUUCGGGCUUGGAUUGGAGUUUAACGCUAGUCAUGUCAAGUACUUUAGAAAGAAGAUUGCGGUUGACAUAUUUAAUGACGAUAUUGUAUUGUAAACCGUUGUAGUAAUUUGAAUGUUGAAACUUGAAUUUUUAUUUUAAUUUGCGCACUUAAGUUUAUAUAAUUUUAAUGCUCACAUUUUAAUAUUUAAAAUAAAAAUAAAUUUUUAUGACAUAUAAGUGUACAAUACACAAAAAAUAAUUACAGUUUUAACCAACAAAACACAAAAACAACUAACUUCGAGUCGACGCAAUGGGAUUCUUACAUCGCUUACGAUUAUGGCCCAAUUCAUGACACCACCCGCAUCUUACAGUCCGCCAGUUAACGUCCUCGCCAGCCGAGGGUAUUCUGAGCUCUUUACGACGGCCAGGUGGUGGUGCCUCAACUGGUGGGUAUACUUGCAUCUCCUGAAUUUCAUCUAGAACUUCCCAAUCAGCCACAUCACCAACUGGCUCUACUGGUUGUGCAUAAGCCAUCGCCAACGAUUCUGUAGUGUAAAAGUCCGAGCAAAGGUUAAUAAAAUCCACCCAGUGUGUUAGACACGCCGCAAUUGCAUGAGCACAUACAAGCUGAAACACUCUGCAGGUGCAAGUUCUCUUUUGCAAGUCAACCAAACCUUCCUUAAGCCCACCGCCUAUAACUUGAAAUCGAUGCGGAGACACCGACCAAACUAUCAUUCUUUCAGCUAUAGUUCUCCUCUCAGUGACUAUUUCAUCUGCCCAUGUUGUUAGCCGAGUAGUCAUUGAUUCAGCCACAAUUUUCCUAUCAUAAAACCAUUGCUGCAUUGUUUUCCUAAAGUGAUCAACAAGAUGAGUAACAAGAAAUUUUCGAGGUUCCCGCAUGAAAGAAUUAACACUCUCCGCGAUGUUGGUGGUAAGUAUGUUGUACCUCAUACCUUCAAACUGAGACCUUGCCCAAUUACACGUACCGACAUUAUUUUCUACGUAAUCAGCCGCACCCGAGUGGAUCAUCCACAACCCUUCAAGUUGUCUCUUAAAAUUCUCGUGGCCAUAUACUUUUGCUGCAUUAAUAAAGCCAGGCUCAAAUUCAUCCCAAAGAGCUUUGGACAUUCUAAACUGUGACUUAAUGUUACCUUUGAUGUGGUAAAAACAAACGCCAUGAGUUGCAUUAUGAAAUACUUUAAGAACGGCUCUCCUUAUGGCAGUGCAUCGAUCAGAGAUAAUUACCAAUUCAGGUCUAUCGCCAAUCACACCGUGUAACUUCAUCAUAAAUCAUUCCCAAGCAUCAUUAUUUUCUGAAUCCAUAAUCCCAAUGGCUAACGGAUACAAUUGAUUGUUACCAUCAAAACAUGUUGCCACGAACAUGCUUCCACGAUAUAGUCCCUUCAGAUGAGUAUCAUCUACAGCAAUGACAAGCCGAAUGUACUGCAUAAAACCCUUGAUGGAAGAUCCGAGUGCUACAAAAUAGUACAAGAAAUUACCAUCUCCAUCUUGCUCGAGGUGAGUGACUGUACCCUCAUUCGCUGUAGUUAGUACGUGAGAGUAUUUAGGGAGCAAGUUGUAUGACUCUGUAGGGUUGCCUCGAACUAUUUCAAGACCAACUUCUCUCGCCCGAUAUGCCUGCUGGUAUGUUAAUUGAACACCGUAUUCCUGUUGCAUAUAUGCUCUUAUGUCAUUCGGAGUAUAAAUCCUCUUGUCUUGAAUAUAUUUUUCUGCGAUAAUAUGACCGACAACCCGGCUCCUUACUUGAUGACGUCCAUCAACCAAUACCUCAUUAUGACAAGUGUGUACAUUGUCAAUUCUCUUUACCACCCAAGGAACAUUUUGCUCGUUCGAACAUCUAGUUGCUCGAAUACGCCAUUUACAUGAUUCUGAACAACAGUGAGCCUCGAAACGUGUCGUAGUAGACCGUGCAAUCUUGAAAUCAAACUUAUCUCUAAAGGCAACCUUGCGUAGUUGUAAUAUAAACUCAUUAUUCUCAGCAAAUAGCUUACCCACACUGAUAUCAUCUGAAUCACAACUGCUAACAAAGCUUGGAGCAACCAUGUUCGAAGGCAAAGUUGGAGCAAGACUUGUAAAGGGGUCAAUUCGCCUUCUCGAUCGAACCAUAGAAGGACUAGAUCUAUUGCCUCUGUGAUUCACAGGAGUAUUGUCUUCACACUCAUCGUCGUGCUGAAACGACGGAACAUUCGAAGGACCGGCUUCUCCAUCAUCACCAUCAUUAUUGAAAUGAGUGCCCCUCGUAUUAUUAGAAGGUUCUGCACAAACAUUAUCCCCCUCUGUCUCAUGAUGAAAAUCAUCAUUAUCCCAAAAAUCAUUGUUGUGAUACGGAGAAUAUCGUUGCUCAAACGACGUCAUUAUUGGAAAUACCGUUGCUCCAACAUCCUCUAACGUAACGCCGUUAUAAUCAAUGUUGUCAUAAUUGUCGUGGAUUGGAGAGUAAUAUUGCUGCAGCGAUAUUGUCCUUGGCAACACCUCUUCAUCAUUAUCGGGGCCAGACAUAUUUGCUCUAAAUUAAGUUUCUGUAUCGACAUGUGGCUCAAUACCUUCACUCGGAACUCGAGGUAAUGUGGUCACGAAUAUAAGAAUGCAUCCAAAAUUGGCUACAUCGGAUGCCAUAUGCAACACAACCCUCACAAUUUCAUCAUCAAAUAUAUCCAUGGGCAGUGCACAUAUACGAUAUAAUGUGUUACUAGACCUCAAAAUUGUCUUCAUUGUGAUACUAUAUUCAUUAGGGUUUAUUUGUAACACCUCGUAUACUCUUGCCAAUAACUGAUCAAACAGACAAUUUUUUCCAACCAAAAAAGCUCGAUUUUUACCAUUCACAUACUCCAUACGGCCAUCCUCUAAUGUCUCCCACCAACCAUCGUAACACAAUUCAAGUACAACUGAAUCCAUUAAGCCUGAAAUUAUAAAAAAAAAAAUUAUUUAGAUCCGGAUCAAAUUAAUACAAUUUUAAUGAAUCUCCAAGGCUUGGUGCGACAGGUGCAUGUCGCACCAAGCAAGGUGCGACAGGCAGCCUGUCGCCAGAUUCACCCACGACUCAGUUCAGCAAGUUCAGAAAAUAACUCAUACCAGUAAGUGAUGUCAAUUAGUGUUGGAUUCGGAUAGAUUAUGAUCAGAUUUCACUUUUACCAUUGUCUUUUGCCGUCGCCGUUGGUUGAUGAUUCAAGAGUGGAAAGCUGCGUUUGAUUUGACAAUACGAGAGAAAGAUUGUUGCUUUUGGUCAGUAAAGAAUGGUAAUUUAGGGAGAAAUGUUUGUGUUUGGCUAACGUUGAUAGAAAAAAAUUAAGAGAGUUAGUUGUGAAAAUAACAAAAUAUUUAUGAUUAUUUUCAUAAAUUUCCCAUUAAUUUUUCUGCUCCUAUGUGAAUGUUCUAACAUUUAUUAAUUUUUUUUAAUAUACUUGAAAGGAAUAGUAGUCAUGCCAAACGACACUAAUAAUUAAAACAUAAAAUUCUUAUUAAAUUAAUAAAUAUUUAUUUAUCAAUAAUUUGAUAAAUUAUUCAUUUAUUGAAAGUAUCGUUAAGAUCAUAUUUUUUUCCCUUAAUUCCAACAAUAUUAUUUACAGAGAUUUUCCGGUGUAUCAAUUUCACUACUUCAGUGUGAAGAAUCAGCAAUCUCCCGUCCACAUAGUUAGUUAGUCCAGAAGGAAUUUCUCUAGCUGCUGGUUCGCU
rnacentral:lncRNA from 1 species